rnacentral:rRNA from 1 species
UACGGAGGGUGCAAGCGUUUAUCCGGAUUUACUGGGUUUAAAGGGUGUGUAGGCGGACUUUUUAAGUCAGCGGUGAAAUCUCCGGGCUCAACCCGGAAACUGCCAUUGAUACUAUUGGUCUUGAAUGUUGUUGAGGUGGGCGGAACGGGUCAUGUAGCGGUGAAAUGCAUAGAUAUGACCCGGAACACCGAUUGCGAAGGCAGCCCACUAAGCAAUGAUUGACGCUGAGGCACGAAAGCGUGGGGAUCAAACAGG